rnacentral:rRNA from 1 species
UACGUAGGGGGCAAGCGUUGUCCGGAUUUAUUGGGCGUAAAGAGCGUGUAGGCGGCCAGGUAGGUCCGUUGUGAAAACUCGAGGCUCAACCUCGAGACGCCGAUGGAAACCAUCUGGCUAGAGUCCGGAAGAGGAGAGUGGAAUUCCCGGUGUAGCGGUGAAAUGCGCAGAUAUCGGGAAGAACACCCGUGGCUAAGGCGGCUCUCUAGUACGGUACUGACGCUGAGACGCGAAAGCGUGGGGAGCGAACGGG